UAUAGUAUCUGUUCAUCUUUUUUGAGUGUUCAACUGAAGGAAACACCAAAUAGUUCCGCAGGUCCUGAGAUGGUCAUUUAUUUUUCCAAACUAUCAUGUACCAUGCAGUCCAUGUGGCAAUCUCAGCCACUGGUACUUCAAUGUCAAUAACAUUAGACAGUCACUGUGAGAUCCAACUCAAGCUUAGGUAACAUUUCCAAAACUUUAGGAUGUUAAUCAGAUGUUUGCUGUGAACAGACACACACCAGUAUCAUGACAAUCUUGUACCUGAACCAGACUUUCACCUUCAGCUGCCCAUUGGACCAGUGUCUGCCUGCUACCACUGACACCGUCCUACCCUAUUCCAUGUAUUAUUAUGCAACAAAGCACAUUUGUUUUAUUUCCAGGAAACAUUUAACCUAUUUUCAAUUCUUCUAUUUUUACCGUCAACUCUCUUCUCCAAGCUUUGAUUAAUUUUCUCCCCCCAGCCCCAUGUACUUGCUUCCUGAUUGGUUUCUAGCAUCUAAUCUUGCCAUCAUUUUAUUCACAGCUGACAGGAGGAACCUUUAGAGGUCUUCCGUAAUUAUACUCAUAGAGGGCUUGAAAGUGACACACAAAUAUUAACAGAACUCCUGCAGUGUGAAGUUUGGGUAGUUUUACUGAAAACACAGUUCUAUUUGGAAAUAUUUGCAGUUGUGAAUGAGAAUUAUGGUUCUCGGUACCAGGAAGCUUUUUCCUUUCUCAGGCCCACCCACAGACUCAUCUCAGUCUUUAUCCUCCGCACACAGGAUCUGUGGACCUGUGGAGUGGGAAAGGAUCCGUGUACCUCUUUCCAGAUCUAAACUCUCAACACCUGCAUGCUCUGCCAAGUGUUUUCCUUGUGCAUUCCUCAGGAGCUGUGGAGGAUUCCAUUAAUAUUUUCAAAGAAAGAGAAUUGAAAAUCUGGGUCCUUGAAGACAUAGCAGCAUAAUGGCCGGUGAUGAACUCUCAAAAGAGCAAGAAAUGAAUGAGUUCUGUUAGGCCAAUGUCCCUAACUAGUCCAUUACAUCAGCAAGUACCAAUGCAGCAAUGGUUCCUGAAGUUUGAGCCUCUGAUGUAGUCCAGGGAAAGGAAAUUCAGAUAAAGAAGCCAAGACAUCCAUGCAUGGUACAGCCUUCUCCACAUGCCAUUCAGAAAUGGACUGUGGGAGACUUGCAGAGCUCUGCUUGGGAUCUCCUUCAUCCUACUCAUGCAUGGUACGUAGGAAAAUGGCUUUCCAAAUUUAGCAACUGGGACAUUCAUUGAAAGGCCACACCAGUUUCUGCUUAUUUUCUUUGUCUUUCUGUACUCAUUUAUAAUAUUUUAAAUGUUUUCAAUAUUUUAGAUGUAUCUGCCAUGACAUCCUACAGACAAUUUUAUUAUAAUAUAUGUUUUGCUAUGUUUCAGUGUUUUUAUGUUUGAUGAAAAAAAUAUAUAUAAACAAAAUUGAUUACAUUUAAAUCACAAAGAAGAGACACAUAGAAAGCUGAUGACAUGAAUAGACACUAUUUUUUCCAAUCAAAAUACUCAUGAAACAAGGUACUUUUUUCAAACAGGAAUUUAAAUUCCUAAUUUUAAUUCCUCAAGAAAGGAAUCAUUUUUGUGUAAAUGUUUUGCAGUAUGUAACAUCAGCAUUCUUAUAAAAGCUGGAAGAAUCUCUAGCUAAGAGAUAUAGGAAUUUGGCAAAAUGUCCAUUUGGUUCAUAAAUAUUUACUAAAGUAGAUUUCAUAAAAGAGGCACCAUAUGAAUUUGGGGUGAGAAGUAAUACAAAGUCUGGUUCAUAAUUUUAUUUCCUUUCUACUAGCAAAUUAAUUAGGUAUAUUUCACAUAUUAUACUUAUCAUACAUAGCACUUCAUGAAUUUUUAUCUGUGGUUCAGAAUAAUCAUGACAAAUAAUGAUAUAAGUCAAAGUCUAUAGAAGCCAAUUUCCCAAGUCAUCUCAUCACGCCACGGAAACACAGAUGCUCUGGUCUGUGUCUCAGUGACUGCCACAGAAGAUUGUGUGUGCUUAAGGUUGUAUCUUUAGGUUCUAUCUUCAGGAAGACUUUUUCAACAGUAAUGCCCUUUUAAUGAGAAAUCAAAAGCAGUCUUCAAGAAGCGUUUAUAGGUACCUGUGGGCUUUCUGGAGAAACUCUGGACAGUUCACCAGACACAGAAAUGAAUAAUUUAAGUGUUCUGAGCUCAAUCUUGCUUUAUACUGAGGUCCUCACUGCACAAUGAUUAUAAUGUCAUUAAAAAUAAUGAGUGUCUACAGAUGAGUGUUGCUCUGCUUACUUCAAUGGCUAUUUUUCUUAAAAGAACUAAUAGUAUUCAUGCAAUUGACAUCAUAAGACUCGGUGACUCUUGCUUACUAUCAUGUCUGUGCCUGUUGUGCUCAGUCAAGAUACCCUCACCAGAAUACAGGGGCAUCUGGAGCCAUGGUUCAUGAGUCAGCACCAAGGCCUAUGAGAAACCAGGGCAGACCCCUUGUUCAUACACUUCUCUGGUUAGUCUCAAUCUUAUCCCCAGUAUGAUAUAAACUAUUUCAUUAUUGUCACAUUGAUAUGGGUGUUCAGGAAAUAUUUUGGUAUUCUGAAUAUCAAGUUCCAAUCUUUGUGUGAUUUAUCAUUAAAUACUUUGACAAGA
rnacentral:lncRNA from 1 species